GAUGAACGCUAGCGAUAGGCCUAACACAUGCAAGUCGAGGGGCAUCACAUGAAGUAGCAAUACGGAUGGUGGCGACCGGCGCACGGGUGAGUAACACGUAUGCAACCUGCCUUCAACAAGGGGAUAACCCGUUGAAAGACGGACUAAUACCCUAUAACACAGGGGUCCCGCAUGGGGAUAUUUGUUAAAGGACAACCGGUUGAAGAUGGGCAUGCGUUCCAUUAGCUAGUUGGCGGGUAAGGCCCACCAAGGCAACGAUGGAUAGGGGAACUGAGAGGUUUAUCCCCCACACUGGUACUGAGACACGGACCAGACUCCUACGGGAGGCAGCAGUGAGGAAUAUUGGUCAAUGGACGCAAGUCUGAACCAGCCACGUCGCGUGAAGGAAGACGGCCCUACGGGUGUAAACUUCUUUUGCAAGGGAAUAAAGUGGCCACGUGUGGCCUUUUGCAAGUACCUUGCGAAUAAGGAUCGGCUAACCCGUGCCAGCAGCCGCGGUAAGUACGCAGCGA
rnacentral:rRNA from 1 species